rnacentral:rRNA from 1 species
AGAAUCAACGCUGGCGGCGUGCCUAACACAUGCAAGUCGAACGAGAAAGUGGAGCAAUCCAUGAGUAAAGUGGCGCACGGGUGAGUAACACGUGACUAACCUACCCUUGAGUGGGGGAUAACCUAGGGAAACCUGGGCUAAUACCGCAUAAUACCCACGGGUCAAAGGAGCAAUUCGCUUAAGGAGGGGGUCGCGGCCGAUUAGUUAGUUGGCGGGGUAAUGGCCCACCAAGACUGUGAUCGGUAU